AGCCAAAUUUUAAUAUUUUAUACAAAUAAUAAAGAAAACCUUCAUUUUAUUACAGUAUUUUUAAAAAAAUUUACCUUAUAAUAUAAACCGAAAGGGUACUCAUAAACAGCUUUUUUAAGAAAUGAUUAUACCUUAUCCCUUUUGCAUCAUGGAGAAGCAACAAAAUCCUAGCAACCUAAAAUCCCGAAUGACUAUGAGCUACUAAACCUUAAAAACCAAUGUUUCAUAAUUGGUAAAGUAACUUUUAGUAGGAGUAACAAGCCUUUCAUAUAGUCGUAUAGCUGGUUUUUCUUUAAAAGCAUCAAAGUGCUGCCUUAUAGAAAAUAUACAAAUUAUAAACUCUAUAAAGUUUAACCUGCUGAGGAUUAGCUCAGUGGGCUAACAAAAAUAUUUUACUUCAUAAUCCCACAAGUAGGCUUAAAAGCAGCCACCAAAUAACGUUCUAGUUAACGCCUCAAACGUCAAAUAUAUAUACCCACAUUUUAAAAUUAAAGAAACUUAAUAAUAAACUCCUAUAUUAAUGAACAGGCAUUCUAUUAGUAUUAAAGAUAACACACUACUUAAAAAUCCUUAAAAUACGAAUCUUAUUAGCUUAUUUCUUGAAACUAUACAAAGAGAACUCGGCAAAACAAUUCCCUGCCUGUUUACCAAAAACAUCGUCUUUUGAACCCGUUAAUAAAAGAUAAUGCCUGCCCAGUGAAAUUUUAAACGGCCGCGUUAGCGUGAGCGUGCUAAGGUAGCGUAAUAAUUAGCCUUUUAAUUGGAGGCCAGUGAAAGGCAACACUAGGAAUACCUGUACCUUGUAUAUAAAAAGAAUUUUUCAUCUAAGUGAAAAGACUUAGAUAGCAAAGGAAGACGAAAAGACCCCGCGGAACUUUACCUUUUCUUAUACUCACGUCUACAAACUUAAAUGUCUAUAAGGUUUGAUUGGGGCAAUCUUGGAACCACUAAAGCUUCCAAUUCCUUUUAAAAAAUAUCAAAAAUUUAUUAAGGACCAAAAAGAAGUUACCCCGGGGAUAACAGCGUAAUCCAACUUAAGAGUACAUAUCGAAAGUUGGGUUUGCGACCUCGAUGUUGGCUUAAGGAUAUCCACAUAAGUGCAACCGCUAUGACAGGAUAGUCUGUUCGACUAUUAUACCCUUACGUGAUCUGAGUUCAGACCGGAGCAAGCUAGGUUGGUUUCUAUCUCCUUUACUUAAAAAACCUUCUUGAUUGUACGAAAGGACCUCAAAAGACGCACUCAAUUUUAGCGUUUAUAAAACAACUACAUCGUUAAUAACCCUAA
rnacentral:rRNA from 1 species